UACGUAGGGUGCAAGCGUUGUCCGGAAUUAUUGGGCGUAAAGAGCUCGUAGGCGGUCUGUCGCGUCUGCUGUGAAAACUCAGGGCUUAACCCUGAGCUUGCAGUGGGUACGGGCAGACUAGAGUGCGGUAGGGGAGACUGGAAUUCCUGGUGUAGCGGUGAAAUGCGCAGAUAUCAGGAGGAACACCGGUGGCGAAGGCGGGUCUCUGGGGCAGUAACUG
rnacentral:rRNA from 1 species